rnacentral:rRNA from 1 species
AGUGAACGCUGGCGGCGUGCCUAAUACAUGCAAGUCGAACGGAGUGGCGCACGGGUGAGUAAUGUAUAGCUAAUCUGCCCUACACUAGAGGACAACAGUUGGAAACGGCUGCUAAUACUCUAUAGUGUAGGAUGAGGCUAUAUUGUAUCAGCUAGUUGGUGAGGUAAUGGCUCACCAAGGCUAUGACGCAUAACUGGUCUGAGAGGAUGAUCAGUCAAACUGGAACUGAGACACGGUCGAGACUGCUGCGGGAGGGAGCAGGAGGGAAUAUUGAUCAAUGGGGGAAACCCGGAAGCAGCAACGCCGCGUGGAGGAUGACACGGUUGGGAGCGGAAACUCCGUUUGUUAGGGAAGCGGUACUUAACGAAUAAGCACCGGCUAACUCCGUGCCAGCAGCCGCGGUAAUUC